rnacentral:rRNA from 1 species
ACGUACACUCCUACGGGAGGCAGCAGUGGGGAAUUUUGGACAAUGGGCGAAAGCCUGAUCCAGCCAUGCCGCGUGCAGGAUGAAGGCCUUCGGGUUGUAAACUGCUUUUGUACGGAACGAAACGGCCUUUUCUAAUAAAGAGGGCUAAUGACGGUACCGUAAGAAUAAGCACCGGCUAACUACGUGCCAGCAGCCGCGGUAAUACGUAGGGUGCAAGCGUUAAUCGGAAUUACUGGGCGUAAAGCGUGCGCAGGCGGUUAUGUAAGACAGUUGUGAAAUCCCCGGGCUCAACCUGGGAACUGCAUCUGUGACUGCAUAGCUAGAGUACGGUAGAGGGGGAUGGAAUUCCGCGUGUAGCAGGGAAAUGCGUAGAUAUGCGGAGGAACACCGAUGGCGAAGGCAAUCCCCUGGACCUGUACUGACGCUCAUGCACGAAAGCGUGGGGAGCAAACAGGAUUAGAAACCCCUGUAGUCCCAUG